rnacentral:rRNA from 1 species
GACGAACGCUGGCGGCGUGCUUAACACAUGCAAGUCGAACGGAAAGGCCUGCUUUCCCUUGUGGAUUGCGGGUGCUCGCGUGGCGAACGGGUGAGUAACACGUGAGUGAUCUGCCCCCAACUUGGGUAUAAGCCUGGGAAACUGGGUCUAAUUCCCGAUAGGACUGCAGGGUGGUGCCUGUGGUGGAAAACGAUUUUCUAGUGGUUGGGGAUGAGCUCGCGGCCUAUCAGCUUGUUGGUGGGGUAAUGGCCUACCAAGGCGGCGACGGGUAGCCGGCCUGGGAGGGUGGACGGGAACAGUGGGACGGAGAUACGGCCCAGACUCCUACGGGAGGCAGCAGUGGGGAAUAUUGCACAAUGGGCGGAAGCCUGAUGCAGCGACGCCGCGUGGGGGAUGACGGGCUUCGGGUUGUAAACUCCUUUCGACCGCGAGGAAGCCACCUGGUUGGAAGGGUGGUGACGGUAGUGGUAGAAGAAGCACCGGCUAACUACGUG